AUUGAACGCUGGCGGCAUGCCUAACACAUGCAAGUCGAACGGGGGCAGCAAUGCCCUAGUGGCGGACGGGUGAGGAAUACGUAGGAACCGGCCCACGAGUGGGGGACAACCUGGGGAAACCCAGGCUAAUACCGCAUACGCUCGCGAGAGGAAAGCGGGGGACCUUCGGGCCUCGCGCUGGUGGACGGGCCUACGUCCGAUUAGCUAGUUGGUGGGGUAAAAGCCUACCAAGGCGACGAUCGGUAGCUGGUCUGAGAGGAUGAUCAGCCACACUGGGACUGAGACACGGCCCAGACUCCUACGGGAGGCAGCAGUGGGGAAUAUUGGACAAUGGGCGCAAGCCUGAUCCAGCAAUGCCGCGUGGGUGAAGAAGGCCUGCGGGUUGUAAAGCCCUUUAAGCGGGAGGAAAGCCGGGGUGUAAAUAGACGCCCUGGGGUGACGUUACCCGCAG
rnacentral:rRNA from 1 species